rnacentral:tRNA from 1 species
GCGAGCGUAGUUCAAUGGCAGAACUCCAGCUUCCCAAGCUGGUAGUGCGGGUUCGAUUCCCGUCGCUCGCU